rnacentral:rRNA from 1 species
UGGGGAAUUUUGGACAAUGGGCGCAAGCCUGAUCCAGCCAUGCCGCGUGCGGGAAGAAGGCCUUCGGGUUGUAAACCGCUUUUGUCAGGGAAGAAAAUCUUCUGAGUUAAUACCUCGGGAGGAUGACGGUACCUGAAGAAUAAGCACCGGCUAACUACGUGCCAGCAGCCGCGGUAAUACGUAGGGUGCAAGCGUUAAUCGGAAUUACUGGGCGUAAAGCGUGCGCAGGCGGUUUUGUAAGACAGAGGUGAAAUCCCCGGGCUCAACCUGGGAACUGCCUUUGUGACUGCAAGGCUUGAGUGCGGCAGAGGGGGGAUGGAAUUCCGCGUGUAGCAGUGAAAUGCGUAGAUAUGCGGAGGAACACCGAUGGCGAAGGCAAUCCCCUGGGGCCUGCACUGACGCUCAUGCACGAAAAGCGUGGGGGAGCAAAACAGGAUUAGAUACCCUGGUAGUCCACGCCCUAAAACGAUGUCAACUGGUUGUUGGGAAGGUUCCUUCUCAGUAACGUAGCUAACGCGUGAAGUUGACCGCCUGGGGGAGUACGGCCGCAAAGGUUGAAAAACUCAAAAUGAAUUGACGGGGUCAUAGCUGUUUCCU